UGAUAGAAUUCUGAUUUUCACAAAAUUAAUCGUGGUGGUAUUUUACGCAUGUGGCAAUUUAAUUACCAAAAUAAUAACUAUUUCUAUCAGUCUUUAUGUUUAGGUAACCUGCCCAAGUAAAUUGUAUUAACUGAUUGAUGUUUGUUGUUCCUGGUGAUGAUUCUCUUCUGUUUCAUGUGGUCUGCAGUGCAUGGACAGUGUUUACAAGGUAGCCCUAUACUCCUAUAUUCAUCACAACAUAGUAGAUAGUACAAACGAGCCACAUCACCGUCUGUUUCCGCCAUGGCAGCGUGACUCCGCCCGACGGCUGGAGGAGGCGAGGUCAGGCCUGCCCUCAAUCGACGCUCCACGCCACCGCAGCCCGCAGCCCCAUCGGCGCCAUCGCUGCGUCGCUCCAUCGCCAUCCCGACCUCGAAGUUGAACCGGCUUCGAGUCCCUCGUGCUGCCACUGAUCCCAGGGCUCCUCAACCCUGCAAGCCAUCGAUCCUGCCUGCGAACAAGAUAAGAGUGCUUCUCGAUCCCGUUCCUGUACGAGGAGGCAUACGGGGCAUGUCCUUAGUGGUUUACUGUACCUGACAAGCAAACAUCUCAAACAUGUUUGUAAAAUCCUCUCGAAAGUAGAGUACCACGUUCCUCAACCCUGUUCACCGAGAUAAGUAUUGUUUAAUGAUGCUAAUGUAUGGUAUGUUAAGCUGAUAUUUGAUGCUACUGAAAUAUGUAACAUAUGGACAUGAAUGUUCACUUCUUUUUUAUGUAAAAUGUAUAUUACCUCAUUAAUAUGAGUGCUUUCAAACCUGACACCAUCUUAAUUGGAAUAUUUGAUUAUGAGAAAACCCUUAUAAUUUAUCUCCACUGUUCUUGAGAGUUAGAAAAAUCUUUCAAUACAUUUUAGUAGUUUUAGAUGCUAAAAAUUCCAGAAGUUGAAGGCUUAUCCAUGCAGUUUUAGAUUUGGUUGGAUGGAAUUUGGAUUCAUUGAACAUUCUUAAACUAUGGCUCUUUUACCAUCAAAACUUUACAUUUUCCAUAUCGUCUUCGACUGCUUGUAGACAAACAACUACAGAAGAAUAUCUCAUGCUUUUUAUGAAACCAGCUAAUGCGACAGUGUCGAGGGGGGUCUUGGCCGGAUCCGUUGCUCAUGGCCGGUAGGAGUGAGGAGUACACAGGCUUCCACACUACGAGGAAACUUCAAUGCUCGAGUUGUCGAGCUAGGUUGGGGAUAUUUGAUUCUUUAAUCUGUAUAGGGUUUGGUAGCGUGCACUCAGCCCUUAGGACUUAACAUGACAGUAAGUGAGAAAAAGGGAAAACAGUGAGUUUUUGCAUCAGGCUGGCUCAACUAAAUGAUUUUUAUGUCCCUUUGGUAAUGAAAAGAUAUUUUUCUGUUGUAUACCAUCUCAUAUGCUCUUAAGAUACAUUUUGAUUUACAUAACAAUUAUGUUUCUAUGUGAAAGAAACUAAAUAUGUAUUUGGUCAUUUUGGUAACUGUUCGCUUAACUUGCAUGGCAUGUUGACUAAUCCAGAAUUGGCAACUGGAGGGGACAGUUGCAGUUCAGUGCCUGACUUGGCUGGCUGUAGGUACAAGUAUUCAUAGUCAACUAAUAAACGGAAUACAUCUCAUGCUAAUUGCAGGUCCUUUUCAUGACAUAACUUACUCAAGAACGAAAUGAAAUCUGCAUAUAGUCAGUAGCAACUAAAUUUACAUUUUCUGUAUGUAAUUAAUCAUAUAUUGUUUGAAGGGGAAACUUAGUGUAGGAUUCAUGGGCAAUGGCUGAGUUCGACAAUAUGAGGGGCUUAUAAUAGGUGUAUCCCCAAGCUGAAAACUGAGCAGAUUUUUGUAGUGCUUCUGUAAUUAAAAAUGCCAACUGACCUAUUGAUUAUUUUUUUUAAAAAAAACUUUGCUAUUGAUUAAUUAGUAGAGAUUUACCUUACUAACAUUCUCUUUAGCUUUAUUAUUUUUGACAUAAUCAAUGAGAAGAUAUGUCUUGACAUAAUCAAAAGGGGCUGAGAUUUCAUGAGCAAACAAUUAGAUAAUAUUUUCUCAGCCCAGGUUUAGUCCUAUUCCCAUGCUUCACUGCUUGCUCCACUCCUUUUGUGACUUGGCAGGUACCAUCUAAUGAGGUUCGUGGUGGUUUUCGAUUCUAUUUAUGUACAGGUGAUCACUUUAUGAACAAUAAACAUCUUGAUUUUCCUCCAUCAAUGUUCAUGUUACUUGCUGUUGUUAUUGCUAACUAGACUCUGUAUAAGAGAAAUUUCUUCUGUUGUUUACCUACCUUUGGUAGGGUUAUUUCACUUCUGAAAUUUAUUCACUUAUUUACCCUAUAUUUGCUAUUUAGACAAAAUAGCAUGAUCUCUCUUUUGUGUCACAAGGUAAUAUCCCAGCCGUCAAGGGGUCUUUGAUCUGUUAGUAAUCCAGGUCAUGGCCUAUAUUACAUGGCCACAGAUCCUAUGAGGUGGGCUGUAUUACAUUGCCACACAUCCUAUAUUACAUUGCCACUGGCAAUGCAGCUUAACGGGAUAUGGGAAUUAAUCUGGAAUUUCACUGUAAUUUACGCAUCUCUGCAUGUGGAUUUACUGUUAUGGAAGAUGCUUGUGAUUUUCUAUACUGAUUCGUUCAGUUGUUUCUCAUAUACAAGGGAUAGGGUGAUUGGGGAGCUGAAGCUGUGUCACCUUCUCUCCAGUUGUAUCGAGAGAUAAAUUAGUGAGAUAGGCACUGUCAUUAAGAAUUUUGCUAUUUUGAUGUCAUGACCACUUAUAAAGAGCAUGCCCUGUACUUGCCAUUUCUUUUGUUGAUGGUACAUUUUUCAGUGUCAUUUAACAUUCAAGUACUUCCAAUUUGAUUCCUUCCUAGCUUCUGAACAUACAAGACUCAGAGCUCAUAUUUCCAAUUUGUUUGUAUAACCAAUAUUUUUCAGCACCAUGGAUGCAUAUUUAGUGUUUUCUGCACUCGAAUCUGUAAAUAAACUAUAUGGUGUCAGAUAUUACGGUUGGUGUUUAAUAUAGAGCACAUGUUAAUAA